CCAGAAGGAAGUUCUGUUCCUGCAUGUCAAUGAUGGAUCCUCUUUGGAAAGCCUUCAGAGAAUUGGCUUUUGGGAGUUCGGUGCAAGUCCAAGGGCAGCUGGUCAAAAGUCUAUCCAAGAGCAAAAUGUGGAACUGAAGGCAGAAAAAAUAGAGGUGAUUGGAAAUUGUGAAGCCAAGGCGUUCCCUAUAAAAUAUAAGGAGAGGCAUCCCCUGGAGUACCUGAGACAGUAUCCUCACCUGAGGUGUAGGACUAACGCUCUGGGUUCAAUAUUGCGAGUUCGCAGUGAAGCCACAGCUGCUAUUCAUUCCUACUUUAAGGUAAGGUGCCCUGCUUCCAAGUGUGCUUUUUAGUGCAGUUUGAAUCAUUAUAAGCCUGGAGCAUUUGCCUGAAAGAUCUUAUUUGUUCUAAACACCCUUUAUCUUAUAAAGAACUAGAUGUCACAGACAUGCAUAUCUGUCUUCUCCCUUUUCUCCUUUUCUUGUGUGUGGUUUAAUAACAUUAUUGAGGAGUAGCUUGCAUACAAUACUGUGCAUAUUGAAAGUGUAUGGUCUGAUGAGUUU